UGGGGAUGCGAGGUAUCGAAUGACUUAGAGGCUGGAGCUGGUUAGGCACAGGCUCCUAUAGUGGAAUCAUCUCGAGAUCAAUGAUCUGCUUAGGUGGAUUGAGAGGGUGGAGGUGGACAUUGUAGACUUUCAGAUGCUAGAGGAUUAGGAGAGCGAUCUUCAAGAGUCUGACUUGAGGCAGCUUCAUCGCAUGCUAUCGGUGCAUCAUUCUUUGUUGAGAUAGUAGAAGA
rnacentral:lncRNA from 1 species